rnacentral:rRNA from 1 species
UGGCGGCAGGCUUAACACAUGCAAGUCGAGCGGGGGCUUCGGUCCUAGCGGCGAACGGGGUGAGGAAUGCCUGGGAAUCUGCCUGGUAGUGGGGGAUAACGAUUCGAAAGGGUCGCUAAUACCGCAUACGUCCUACGGGAGAAAGCAGGGGGACCUUCGGGCCUUGCGCUAUCAGAUGAGCCCAGGUCGGAUUAGCUAGUAGGUGAGGUAAAGGCUCACCUAGGCGACGAUCCGUAGCUGGUCUGAGAGGAUGAUCAGCCACACUGGAACUGAGACACGGUCCAGACUCCUACGGGAGGCAGCAGUGGGGAAUAUUGGACAAUGGGCGAAAGCCUGAUCCAGCCAUGCCGCGUGUGUGAAGAAGGCCUUCGGGUUGUAAAGCACUUUAAGCGGGGAGGAAGGGCUUCUGGCUAAUAUCCAGGAGCAUUGACGUUACCCGCAGAAUAAGCACCGGCUAACUCUGUGCCAGCAGCCGCGGUAAUACAGAGGGUGCAAGCGUUAAUCGGAAUUACUGGGC